rnacentral:rRNA from 1 species
AUUGAACGCUGGCGGCAGGCCUAACACAUGCAAGUCGAACGAGUGGCGGACGGGUGAGUAAUGUCUGGGAAACUGCCUGAUGGAGGGGGAUAACUACUGGAAACGGUAGCUAAUACCGCAUACCCUCAGAUGUGCCCAGAUGGGAUUAGCUGGUUGGUUGGGUAACGGCUCACCAAGGCGACGAUCCCGAGCUGGUCUGAGCGGAUGACCAGCCACGCGGGAACUGAGACACGGUCCAGACUCCGACGGGAGUGAGUAUUGGGGAAUAUUGCACAAUGGGCGAAAGCCUGAUGCAGCCAUGCCGCGUGUGUGAAGAGGGCCUUCGGGUUGUAAAGUACUUUCAGCAGGGAGGCGUUACCCGCAGAAGAAGCACCGGCUAACUCCGUGCCAGCCGCCGCGGUAAUAC